rnacentral:rRNA from 1 species
UACAGAGGUCCCGAGCGUUGUUCGGAUUCAUUGGGCGUAAAGGGUGCGUAGGCGGUUUUUUAAGUUUGAUGUGAAAUCCCGGGGCUCAACCCUGGAAUUGCAUUGAAUACUGAAGAACUAGAGUACUGGAGAGGAAACUGGAAUUUACGGUGUAGCAGUGAAAUGCGUAGAGAUCGUAAGGAAGACCAGUGGCGAAGGCGAGUUUCUGGACAGUUCCUGACGCUGAGGCACGAAGGCCAGGGGAGCAAACGGG